GACGAACGCUGGCGGCGUGCCUAAUACAUGCAAGUUGAGCGAUGAAGAUUGGUGCUUGCACCAAUUUGAAGAGCAGCGAACGGGUGGGUAACGCGUGGGGAAUCUGCCUUUGAGCGGGGGACAACAUUUGGAAACGAAUGCUAAUACCGCAUAAUAACUUUAAACAUAAGUUUUAAGUUUGAAAGAUGCAAUUGCAUCACUCAAAGAUGAUCCCGCGUUGUAUUAGCUAGUUGGUGAGGUAAAGGCUCACCAAGGCGAUGAUACAUAGCCGACCUGAGAGGGGGAUCGGCCACAUUGGGACUGGGACACGGCCCAAACCCCUACGGGAGGCAGCAGGAGGGAAUCUUCGGCAAUGGACGAAAGUCUGACCGAGCAACGCCGCGUGAGUGAAGAAGGGUUUCGGAUCGUAAAACUCUGUUGGUAGAGAAGAACGUUGGUGAGAGUGGAAAGCGCAUCAAGUGACGGUAACUACCCAGAAAGCGACGGCUAACUACGUG
rnacentral:rRNA from 1 species